rnacentral:sRNA from 1 species
GGAUUCGAAGUCAGCGUAAUGUCGUGGAACAUUGAUGGGCUCGACGGGAGAAGCUUGCUCACAAGAAUGAAAGCAGUGGCUCAUAUUGUCAAAAAGUGAGCAAAAUCGGCGAUUUUUCACGGAAUUUUCAAAUUUUUAGUUGAUUUUGAUGCAAAAUCAGCAAAAAAAUCACUAAAAACCGUCAAAAAUCUUCAAAAAUCAACCUGAAACGCCAAAAAAAAAUUUCAGCGUCAAUCCGGACAUCCUAUUCCUCCAAGAAGUCGUCGACCGUGAUUUGGCGCCGAUUGAUAAGCUUCAAUCGCUGUAUAAAAUCUAUUAUUCGAACAAAGGCUGCCAAUAUUAUACGGCGAUUCUUGUGUCGAAAAUGUUCGACGUCGAGAAGCAUGACGUCAUUCAUUUUCAGAAUUCUGGAAUGUACAGAACUUUGCAGAUUUUGGAGGGAUCUAUUGGCGGUUUGAAGG